UUAAAUUAAUGAGUUUGUAAAGUGUUAUUUAUUUUAUUUUUAAUCUGGUCAUGUGCCUGUUUGUUAAAAAGAAGGGUCAACAUAAAAAUAUAAUGAGAAAUAAAUGAUAAAUAUUUUAAAAUUAUUUUUGAUAGUACAUACGUAUAUUUAUCAAAACUUUGAAGGCUUAGGUUGAUGGUAUAUUUAAGUAUUAUUUUGGUUUGGAUUGCAGGAGAAACGAAAUCUAUAUUAGGAAGUGUGGUGGAGAAGAAGGUGACUCUAACUUGUGAAUAUGCAAAAGAAGAAGCUUCAAUAUUUGCUUUCCUCAUGCGCUUCUUCCUCUCCUCUUGCACCUCUUGACUCAAUUUUAUUAAAAACAUUGUACCUUAUUCCUCACUCCUUUACAAUGAUUUAAAUCUUUCCAUUAUCAUGCUCAUCAUCAUUUGCCUAAAAAAUCUUUUGCACUGAUUAAAAUAUUUUGUUUUAUUUUAAAAUAUAUAUAUAUAUAUAUAUAUAUAUAUAUAUGUGUGUGUGUUGGCUUCUCUAACAAAAUUAACAAAAACAAGUUUCAUGAGUAACUUUGCAUACUGAUACUUACUUCAGCCUUUCUUACUCCUGUGAUAUUAAUUCUCACUUAUUCAUUUAUUGAUGCAAAGAAAUACAAAGUAAAAUACGUUAUAAAGAGAAUAAAUUUUCCGUUCCAAAACAAAACGAGAGUUUCUGUAGAAUGUGAUGCAAUGGUCUUUAAUGUCAUUAAGAUUUACAAUGUGUUAUCAAAAUUAACUCUUGAAUCUACAAUAACUCCUACAGAAGUUUCCUAUAUAAGUAGUGUCUUUUGUGAAUGCUAAGACAACCAACAAAAAGGAAAGGAAAACAUUUCCCUCAUUCCUUCUUAUUUUUAGAAUAUUUUUGAGCAAUUUGUUUUGGGCAACCUCCAAACUCUCAGUCACGAGGGCACGUGUUUGAGAGUAAUUGUGGAACCUUGGGAAGCGACAUGCUACAACGAUUUGCAUCGGAGUCGAGCUGAAAUCACUUUCAAGGCAGUGGCUCGCCACGACACAGUGUUUGUGAUAAGUUAUUUACUACUUUAUAAUUCCAAUCUAAUAUCAACAUUGUAGUAUCUUCCUAACAACUCCACCAUCCGACCCCAACCCCCCACUCUCUUUGGCUUAAAUUAUACUAUAUAAUAUUUUAUGUAUAUUUAUCUAUCAAUAGAAAAUAAGUAGAAACAAUACUUCAAUUUUUUUUUAAAAUAAUUUCCUCAUAACAAACACCUCCAUAAUCUCCUCUUCUUUUUUGUUAUUCACCAAAGUCUUUAAAGACAUCUAUCAUUUUUUAUCACUUUUACCUUAGCCUCUAUCCCGAUUAAAAGCAUUUGGAAUCAAUCAAAUAUUUGAUAGUUUCUGGCCUAGCUAUGAAAUGGAUCAUUGAUGAAAAAUAGAAAGCAGACCAAAAAUUAAGGGGUAAGGAUUCAAAAUUGAUUUGGUUAAGGAAUGACAUUCCAAAAGCUUUAAUAAGUUUUAUGUGCUUUUUGAGUCAAAUUUUAAUUUCGAGCAUUAAGCUCAAAAUACGUUUAUCAAGUCUCAAGCACACACAGAGAAUCAGGAUGCUCUUUAUGCUACGAUUAAGGUUAUAUUUACCUAUUGAAUGCCUAUUGGGAUUAUUCCAAUCAUUCAAGUUACAGAAAUGACAUAUGAAAGUUACUUUCAUUUGUUUUGCUUUAAUAAGUCAUUUACAUUUGAUCCAUAACCCGGAAUAUACUUGUUAUAUAUUAGCACGACAUACAUGGUCCUUUAAAUUUGAGAUGGAUGGGAUUUAAAGUAGUCCUAUAUAUAAAUAUAUAUGUUUAUACAUUUCAAAACUAAACAUUUUUAAUCUAACACUGACGAUAAUUAGAAGUAAGAAUUAGGUAAAAUGAGCUUGUCACAUUUCUUAAUGGGUGUGGUUUGGUUCAAGAAAAGAAUGGAAUUUUGAUGAAUCUAAUAUUAGGUAACACCUACCCUUGAAAAAGAAGCCUAGUAAAUUUUAAUUGUGGUAUGACGUAACGUAACCCUCAUUCCAAAGGCUUCUUAGCGGGCCAAGUAAUUAAAAGAAUGAUUCCUCUAGCUAGUAUUAGUAUUAUUACUUAUUACAAAAGGCUAAGGUUCAUAUAUCAUCACUAAAAAUUGAGGUUUUGUCCCAACAUAACAUAACAUUGUACCUUUAUUUCAUGUCAGGACAGGUAACUACUCCAAUAUAUUAUAUAUAAUUUUUGGAAGGUACGUACAUAUAUAUAUAUAAUUAUAAUUGCAAUUGAUAUAUAUAUAUAUAAUGGCAGCAGGUAUGCAUGGUGAUGCGGGUUAAUCUAGAUUGCCCUUGUUGUUGCAAGAAAAUGAGAAGAAUCAUUCUGCGAAUGAAAGGUAAGCUGGCACAUAUAAUUAAUUCUUUGUUGAUGGAUCCAAAUUAAAUUAAACUCUAUUAUAUAUGUGUAGAAAUAGAGAUGCAUCUGAUUGAGAAGCAAGAGAAGAGAAUAAGCAUAAUGGGGCGGUUUGAUCCGGCAGAUAUAGCCAUAAGAAUCAGGAAAAAAAUGAACCGGAGAGUAGAGAUUUUGGACAUUCAAUUACCCCAACAGCCUGACGAGAUGCAUCAUGCCCCCAUUAUGCAACACACAUAAACUACCUUAGCUUCUUUUCCCCUAAUAUUGGGAUGCAUGCUCUCAUAUUCAAAACAAACUCGUGCAAGAUUAAUAAAAAAGUCUAAUACUCGAUCAACAAUGGAGUUUAGAUUGUGCGAAGAACUUCUUGAGUUUACAUUUGAAUGAAGAAAAUAAUCUAAUUUGCAGUUACAUUUCAAAUAGUGAUAUCAUUAACAAGACAGCACAAAGUGGCCGUUAGUUGUUGCAUUUUUGCUUCACAGAUGGACAUGAAUUAAUGGUGUUGGUAUAUCUUAUUAUCCAAUAAUUACGAAGACAUCCAAUAAAAAAUUAUUCUCACCUGAAUCCAAUCUGUCUAUUUUUCACAGAUCCUAGUUGCCUCAUCACAAUAUCAUAACAUAGCAAAAAAAGUUAAAUCAAAGCACACUAAGUUCGUGUUCUAAUUGCUAGAAUAAGCUCUUAGCCAUUUUCUUCAACCAAAUAGUUUUAAAAAAAAUACUGCCUUCAUAAACAUAUUGUGCACAACCCAAUUAUUUUACAAAACAAUAAGCUAUCUCUUCCAAUGCAAACUCUUAAUUAUGUAUCUUAUAACCUAAAUAUAUUCUCACAAAUACCACAACAACUCGUUCUUCUCACCAUCUCCAAUAUGUCAAAUUCUAGAACAUCUACACAUAAUAGUCCAAAAUCCAAUAAUUCAAUACGUAAAUUUCAAUCUCAAUUGCAAAUUUGCAAUUAUUGUGUCAAACAGGAAUCAAAGACAACAUUAAACAAUUAGAAAAUGUAUUGAAAAAAAUUAGAUGCAAUAAUAGUUGCGAUUAGAGGUGUUCACGGGUUGGUUUGGAUCGGUUAUUGGUCAAAACCAAAACCAAACCAACUUUAUCGGUUUUAAAAUUAUCAAAACCAAACCAAACCAAAUAUAAUAUACAUUUACCGGUUUAGUGGUUAUCGGUUUCGGUUUUGGUUUGGUUAUUCGGUUAUUAACCAUACACAAAAAUAAAAGAAACAAUUCAUUCAAAAUGUGAAAAAAGUGACAACAAUCCAUUCAAAACNNNNNNNNNNNNNNNNNNNNNNNNNNNNNNNNNNNNNNNNNNNNNNNNNNNNNNNNNNNNNNNNNNNNNNNNNNNNNNNNNNNNNNNNNNNNNNNNNNNNNNNNNNNNNNNNNNNNNNNNNNNNNNNNNNNNNNNNNNNNNNNNNNNNNNNNNNNNNNNNNNNNNNNNNNNNNNNNNNNNNNNNNNNNNNNNNNNNNNNNNNNNNNNNNNNNNNNNNNNNNNNNNNNNNNNNNNNNNNNNNNNNNNNNNNNNNNNNNNNNNNNNNNNNNNNNNNNNNNNNNNNNNNNNNNNNNNNNNNNNNNNNNNNNNNNNNNNNNNNNNNNNNNNNNNNNNNNNNNNNNNNNNNNNNNNNNNNNNNNNNNNNNNNNNNNNNNNNNNNNNNNNNNNNNNNNNNNNNNNNNNNNNNNNNNNNNNCUGGUUUUCAAAAAUCUCAAACCAAACCAAACCCAAAUAAAAUCGGUUUUAUUUUAUCGGUUUGGUUUGGUUUUUCGGUUUGGAUCGGUUUUUAUCCAAACCGUGAACGCUCCUAGUUGCAAUUGUUCAACUGCUGCUAGGGUGUUCACGAGUCGGUUUGGAUCGGUUAUUGGUCAAAACCAAAACCAAACCAACUUAAUCGGUUGUAAAAUUAUCAAAACCAAACCAAACCAAAUAUAAUAUACAUUUAUCGGUUUUGGUUUGGUUGGUUCGGUUAUUCGGUUAUUAACCAUACACAAAAUAAAAGAAACAAUUCAUUCAAAAUAGUGAAAAAAUGACAACAAUCCAAUUCAAAACGAAAAAUAUAUAGUUAGAAUGACUUAAAUUACUGAACUUUCGAUCACUAAAUUUACUAUCAAUAAAGCUUUAAAAUUCACUAUAUUGUCCUAGAAGGAAGAGACAAUAACAUUUUCAGUCUCACAAAGAAUUGUCAUAGACACUCAUAUAAUAGAUGUUUCAUCUUGGCCAUUUUUGCUUUCAAUUAGUAAAUUAAAAAGAAAUUUUAAUAAAAAAUAUGUAUAAGAUCUUUAAAAUUGUUUAUAAAAACAUAUAUUAAGUAUGUAUAUUAAUAAAAUAUAUGUAUAUAAUUCAUCGGUUCGGUUCAGUUAUUUCUUCGAUUUUUUCGAAUAAAACCAUAACCAAAACCAAAUACUAUCGGUUUUUCAAAAAUCUAAAAACCAAACCAAACCAAACCCAAUAAAAUCGGUUUUAUUUUAUCGAUUUGGUUUGAUUUUUCGGUUUGGAUCGGUUUUUAUCCAAACCGUGAACACCCUUAACUGCUGCCCUUGCACCGGCUGAGAAACUUGCAAAGUUUUCUGGAGUCGACUUCAAGAGUUGGUAACAGAAGAUGUUCUUCUAUCUGACUACGUUGAGUCUGCAGAGGUUCAUUAAUGAGAAUGUUCAUGUUAUGUCAGAUGAAAAUGACCGAAGAACGAUUCUUGGUGAAAGAAGCAUGGACACAUUCAGAUUUUUUGUGUAAAAACUAUAUUCUGAGUGACCUGCAAGAUGAUCUGUACAAUGUGUAAAGUAGUGUCAAGACCUCAAAAGAAUUCUAGGAUGCUCUAGAAAAGAAGUACAAAACAGAGGAUGUCGGAAUGAAGAAGUUCAUUGUGACAAAGUUUUUGGACUAUAAGAUGAUAGACAAUAAGACCGUCGUCACCCAAGUUCAAGAACUGCAGGUCAUAAUCCAUGAUCUCCUUGCUGAAGGUAUAGAUUUAUUUAAUGCCUAUGUUAAACAUAUUAAGUCUAUUCUUAAUACUCACAUAAUCUUUAAUGUAGGAUUGAUUGAGAAUGAUGUUUUUCAAGUGGCAGCCAUUAUUGAGAAGUUACCACCUUUGUGGAAGGACUUCAAAAACUACUUGAAACAUAAACGCACGGAGAUGACUAUUGAAGAUCUCAUGGUAAGGCUGAGAAUCGAAGAGGAUAACAAGGCCGCAGAAAAGAGGUCAUGUGGUAAUUCAGCAAUAUCUUGAGUAAAUAUUGUUGAAGAAGAUCCCACAAAAUCAAAGAAAAGAAAGAAAGCAUCUGGUCCAAAGAGCAAUCUUCCUACGAAGAAAUUCAAUGAAAACUGCUUCAAUUGUGGCAAACGUGGUCAUAGGGCUACUGAAUGUCGGGGUCCCCAAGAAGGACAAGAAGAAGGAUCAAGCAAAUUUAGGCUGAAUUCAAAGAAGAGAUAGAUGAUCUCUGUGCAAUGCUUUCAGAAUGCAACUUGGUUGGAAAUCCAAGAGAAUGGUGGAUAGAUUCUGGUGCCUCAUGCCAUGUUUGUGCCAACAAAGAAUUAUUUGCAUUAUAUACUCCAGCACCAUCAGACGAGAAGUUAUUUAUGGAGAACUCCAUUGCAACAAAGGUUGAAGGAACUGGCAAUGUCCACUUGAAGAUGACAUCGGGCAAGGUGGUGACUUUGAACAGGGUCUUGUAUGUUCCAGAAUUGCGAAAGAACUUAGUUUCUAUACUAGUUCUUACCAAGAAUGGAUUCAAAUGUGUAUUUGUUUCUGAUAAAGUUGAAGUCAGUAAGAAUGAGAUGUAUGUAGGAAAAGGUUACCUCACUGAGGGCCUCUUCAAACUCAAUGUAAUUGCAGUUGAUAGAAAUAAAGAUUUUGCUUCUUCUUACUUGCUUGAGUCUAAAUGUUUAUGGCAUGAACAUUUGGGACACAUCAAUAACAAAACCUUGCGAAAACUGAUUAACUUAAAUGUUUUUGCCUAAAUUUGAGUGCAAUAAAUUAAAAUGUCAAGUUUGCGUUGAAUCUAAGUAUGCUAAGCAUCCUUAUAAAUCUGUUGAAAGGAAUUCAUACCCCUUAGAACUGAUUCACACUGACAUUUGUGACAUGAAGUCAACACCAUCACAUGGUGGGAAAAAGUAUUUCAUAACUUUUAUUGACGAUUGCACUAGAUAUUGUUAUGUCUAUUUUGCUAAAAUGGUAAGGAUGAAGCAAUAGAUGCAUUUAGGCAAUAUAAAACUGAAGUUGAAAAUCAGUUGGAUAAAAAGAUUAAAAUGAUCAGAAGAAAGAGAGGUGGAGAAUAUGAAUCUCCAUUUGCAGAAAUAUAUUUGGAAAAUGGAAUCAUCCAUCAAACUACUGCUCCUUACUCUCCUCAAUCUAAAUGGAAUUGUGGAAAGGAAAAACUAAACUUUAAAGGAGAUGAUGAAUGCCUUACUUAUAAGUUCAGGUUUACCACAAAACUUGUGGGGGUAAUCUAUCCUUACAGCAAAUCGAAUACUCAAUAGAGUGUCUCACACCAAGACACAUAUUAUUCCAUAUGAGAAAUGGAAAGGUAGAAAAUCCAACUUGAAAUAUUUCAAAGUGUGGGGGUGUCUAGCCAAAGUCCAAGUUCCUAUACCUAAGAGGGUGAAAAUAGGGCCUUAGACUGUGGAUCGUGUAUUCAUUGGAUAUGCCACAAAUAGUAAGACAUGUCGAUUUUUGGUUCAUAAGUCCGAACAUUCAGAUAUUCAUGACAAUACGGUAAUAGAAUCAGAUAAUGCUAAAUUCUUUGAACAUAUCUAUCCGUAUAAAACUAGACUUGAGUCAUCUAAUGGGGGGUCUAAACGACCUCGAGAAAAACCAAAAGAGAAUGAACCUAAUGAAGAUAGUCCAAGGUGCAGUAAACGUCAAAGGACAACUACUUCAUUUGGAUCUGAUUUUGUAACAUUCCUUCUUGAAAGUGAGCCUCAAACAUUCAAGGAAGUUAUGUUGUCUAGCAACUCAACCUCUUGGAAGGAGGCUAUCAAUAGUGAGAUUGAAUCAAUCUUAAGCAAUCAUACUUGGGAGUUGGUUGAUCUUCCUCCAGGGAACAAACCCUUGGAUUCGAAAUAGAUCUUCAAAAGAAAGAUGAAAGAUGAUGGAACUAUUGAUAAAUAUAAAGCAAGACUUAUUGUCAAAGGCUUUAGACAUAAAGAAGGUCUUGAUUAUUUUGACACAUACUCGCCAGUGACUAGGAUUACAUCAAUUUGGAUGUUAAUUACCCUAGCUGCAGUAUACGGUCUUGAAAUCCAUCAAAUGGAUGUGAAAACCGCCUUCUUAAAUAGAGAGCUGAAGGAAGAGAUUUACAUGGAACAGCCUGAGGGCUUCGUAGUUUCCGGUAAAGAAAAGAAAGUAUCCAAACUUGGUAAGUCACUUUAUGGACUAAAACAAGCACCGAAAUAAUGGCAUGCAAAGUUUGAUCAAACCAUGUUGUCAAAUGGAUUUAAGAUCAAUAAAUGUGAUAAAUGUGUCUACAUUAAAAACACUCCGAAUCAGGAGGUCAUUGUAUGCCUAUAUGUGGAUGACAUGCUGAUAAUGAGCAAGGACAUUGCUAAUGUAAAAGCUACUAAGCGUAUGCUCGCUAGUAAGUUUGAUAUGAAAGAUCUAGGAGUUGCCGAUUUGAUAUUGGGAAUUAAGAUUCACAAAACUCCUAACGGUCUAGCAUUGUCUCAAUCUCAUUAUAUUCAAAAGGUACUUGAAAAGUUCAAGUAUUUGAAUUUCAAAAAGGCAAAAACCAAUUGAUGUGAACCUUAAUCUUGCUAAGAAUAAAGGUGAAAGUUAGUCUCAAUUGGAUUGUGCCAGAGUAUUGGGAAGUUUGAUGUAUGUCAUGAAUUGUACACGACCAGACAUAGCCUGCGCUAUAAUAAACUGAGUCGAUACACAAGUAAUCCCAAUCAAAAUCAUUGGAUGGCAAUGAAGAGAGUUUUGGGGUACUUAGAUGACACUUAAAACUAUGCUUUGCAUUACAACAAAUAUCCAGCAGUUCUUGAAGGAUAUAGUGAUGCAAAUUGGAUUACUGGGUCAACUGAAACAAAAUCCACGAGUGGAUAUGUUUUCACUAUUGGUGGAGGAGCAAUAUCUUGGAAAUCAUUCAAACAAACAUGUAUAACUCGCUCUAUAAUGGAGUCUGAAUUCAUUGCAUUAGACAAGGCAGGUGAAGAAGCUGAAUGGCUCCGAAAUUUCUUAGAAGAUAUUCCGUUUUGGCCCAAACCAAUGGCCCCUAUAUGCAUACACUGUGAUAGUCAAGCUGCAAUAGGAAGGGCUGAAAGUUUUAUGUAUAACGGGAAGUCUCGUCACAUACGACGAAGACAUAACUCUGUUAGACAACUACUCUCUAGUGGAAUUAUCACAAUUGACUAUGUAAAGUCAAAUGAUAAUGUGUCGGAUCCACUUACAAAAGGCCUAACUAGAGAGGGAGUUGAGAGAUCAUCGACGAGAAUGGGACUAUGGCCGAGAACAAGUCAUCGUGGCGGUAACUCUACCUAUAAGACUGGAGAUCCCAAGAUCUAGGUUCAAGGAGAUGAAACAAAGUCAUAGAUGAUUGCUCAACAUUGUCAAAAUUUAUUUUAUUGUCCAUUCUCAUGAUGAGACAAUGUUCAGUAACCAAGAUAAAGACAUAAGGACUUUUUAAUGAUUUCUAAGUUUGAUACAUGGUAUAUCAAAUAGUGUAUCUACGGAAUAACACAGUUAGAAACCACCUAUGUAAGUGUGAAGUGUAAGCCGCUUCAAGGAGAAUUCGAUAAGGCCAGUUCUCUAAGCACUUAUUAACCAAGACGUCAUUCAUGGCUGAAACGAACAAAACAAUGAGAAUAAAAAAUAGUUCAAGGGUUGAUUGUGUGACUUAUGUUGUCUAGGUAUACACCAAAGCUCGACGAUUCAAAGAUAUCAAACUACCGAUUGACCGAGUAUAUCUGAUAUAUGUUUACUACGGAAAGUUUAAAGGGAAACCCACUUAUCCAGAUGCGAUUAACCCUUACUUACGAGACACACAAGUUUUUUCAUGCAUAUGUUUUAACAAUAUUCAUCCUCCAUUCAUGUGAGGGAUUGUUGGGUUUUAGCAAUGUGUGAAUGGGAAAUAAGAAGAGAAAAUGGAAAAUGUGGGGGAACCAAUUUUGGAGGGAAAAUGAAAAGUCAUUACAAAUUGCAAAUGAAAAGUCAUUUCUCCCAUAUUGGUAGAAGAAAGGAAAAUUGUUGUCCUUAUAUUAGGAAACACUUCCUUUAGUUCUUAAAAGGUUAAGAAGAAGGUGCCCCCUCGCGCCGUCGUCGUCGUCGCUCGCUCAGCUUCGUAUUUGGGUUUGGAUUUGGCAAAUGAUGUGAUUGAUAAUAUUUUUUGGACAAAAUUUAUUUAAUCAAUCUCAUUAAUUGAUUUCCUUUCUCUUAUAAAUUAAUCUAGGAUGUUAGUUAAUUAACAUAAUUAAUUUCGCGUAACAUGAUUUAUUUGAAAUUCGCGUGUAACAGUAACGUCGUUCUAAAGGGACAUGUUCCUUUCAAAAAGACGUUACUUUUCCCAAAAAUAUACAACGUUCUGGAAAGACACCACUGUCCGAACAGAUGCAUUCCUUGCUGCAAUUGGCUAUAAAUAAGAGGUUUUUCCCGUUUUUCAUUCACUGAAAUUUUUUCCUCUCUGCAUACAUUUUCUUACAUAAACAAAAUUGUCGAUCGACUGAGUCUAUGUGUGCUCUCGUUACUGUUCCUGCGUUCGCUGAAAUUAGUGAAGUUUGAGGUACCGCUACUUCUCUAAUAGUUAAUCUGUUUUAUCUUGGGAGGAAUUAAUCUGUAACCUCGGGUACUUGAGGGGAUUAAAUUUCUUAAGGAAACACAGUGGGUUCUGUGGACUCGAAUUAUUAUUUCUGUCUGUUUCAUCUUUUUUCUGUUUUUGUUUUGCUAACCUUAAUACAUGAGAUAACGAAUUUCAUAUUGGAUAACAAAUAAUAGUGUAAAAUAAGCAAAUCAUGUAUGAGUAUGGACAUUGCUUGAAGUGCAUUAAGCAUGUUUUAGUCCUAAAAUGUAAAUAUUCAUUUACUUUGAAAUUUAAAAAUAUUUCCCCUUGUAAUUACAUAAAUUUAUUUUAGGGAAAAGGGUCAAAAAUACCCCUCAACUUUAGCUUAUUAGUUGACUAUACCCCUACCAUUAAAACAAAGUUAUUUAUACCCUCGCCGUUACUAAUUUCACUAUUUAUACCCCUCAAUUGACGGAAAUCCCCAAAUCAAACAAAAUUGACCCAAUUUCUAAAAAAAUGACCCAUACCCCAUUUUAAACCCAUGCCCGACCCAUCAAUGUAUCUUAAAUCCAAAAUAAUUUAACCCAUCCUUACCCUUUUGCCACCAUUUCUACAAACUUUUUUAUUCUUCCUUUUAAUUUUUUUUUCUCCAAAUUCCAGCAAAACAUCACUGCCUCUUCUCAUGACUCUUCUCAUGACUGCAAAAAGCAGUCAUCUUUGUGAGAAGCACAAAUAUCUACCUCACCAAUUUCCUUGCAAAGUUAAAUUCUUACACAAGUGAAUAAAGAUACUUACACUAAAAUGAUGGAAAGAGAAAGUGUGUAGGUGUGUGCACUAAACAGAAUCGGAGAGUUUGGAGAAGAAAAUUAUAGGGGAGGAUGGGGUGUGCAAAUGUUUCUGCAAAUGGGCAGAGUCUUUGGGGAAGACAAUACAGGGGGUGGGGGUUGUGAAUCUUCUUUUAGGUUUAAUUUUUUUUGUUGUAAUUAUUUGGGUAAAAUCCAUGCCUUUGAUUCUCUCCAAUUGUCUGCGAUGAUGGUUAGCUUCGGAACAGUCAUGGUUGACCACGAUGUCACUCUUUUUUUUCUCUUUCCUCCAUUAAUAGAGUCAUCAUACUCGUCUAAAAGUGCUCAGAUCUAAUCAGUUUUUGUGUUUUAGGUGCUGCUCGACAAUGUCUUUGAAGUCACGCCACAUCUCCCUCUCUUCCCCCUUAAUGUUAAAUCUGAUCAACAACAUUAUUACUCCAGCAAAAUUUUAUUUUUUCUGAUAAAAUUUAUUGAUUGAUUGUUUUUGUUUUAUUUUCUAGUAUUUCUUGGUUCCUGCAUUGUUGAUAAAGAAAAAAUAAAGUUCAAAUGAAGAACAAAUGAAGAAUGAAUUGGGGAAACACAAUUGGAGAAUUAUCAUGACAGUAGCUCCAAAUGUUUUUUUUUAGAAUGGGUAUAGAAAAUGGGUUAAAUUAUUUUGGGUUUAAGACAGAUAGAUGGUCUGGGCAUGGGUUUAAAAUGGGAAAUGGGUCACUUUUUAAGAAAUCGGGUCAAUUUUGUUUGAUUUGGGGAUUUCCGUCAAUUGAGGGGUAUAAAUGGUGAAAUUAGUAACGGCAAGGGUAUAAAUAACUUUGCUUUAACGGUAGGGAUAUAGUCAACUAAUAAACUAAAGUUGAGGGGUAUUUUUGACCCUUUUCCCUUUAUUUUAUAUUGAAAAGUUAUAGGAUUUUUUCUUUUUAGUUUUAUGAUACAAUAUAACGAAAUAAAGUAUAUUCAAUAUUUUUCAUCUAAAAAAAGACUAAAACAUUUUCUCCAUGUUGAAUUCUUAAGUAGAAUACUAUUUACUAAUGAGAAUAUGGGUAAACUAGUAUUUUACCCAACCCAUUUGUUACCCAAUCCAUUUUUACCCAUAUCAAAUAUGAGUGGGUUGAAUUAUUACCCAUUUUCAAUCUGCCCAAAUUUGAUCCAACCCGCCCAUUUGCCACCAAUAAUUUGACACAAAUUUGCAAGGAAAUGGGAUGGAACCCCAAGAGGAAAAAUAGUCUUUUCCUCUUUGGGCUUAGUGGUUUGAACCUUACACGGGGGCGGAGCUACAAGUCUUGUUUACGCAGAGUGUGAUAUUAUAUACGAGCUCUAGGCCUCCGCCCAUCUCUGUUUCAAGAAUGAAGCCUCCGACCUUUCCUAUGUUUUAUUUUGUUUGAUUAAAGCUUUUAAUUUCUUUCAUACAAUAUACAUUUAGGUAUUGCUUGCUAUGAAAGAGUCGAGGUAACUUUGAUAGUACAACUUACACAUAGCUGCUAAAUGAUAUUAGGAUUUAUAAAUACUAGAAUUUGUCUAUAUUACAUUACAUAGCUGCCAAAAGAAUGUUUUGCUUAUGUUAAGACACAGAUCUAAUUUAGUGGUUAGCAUUUCUCUUUUUGUCUUUCCACCAAAAAAAGAGGACCCAUUUAAUCAUUUAAAUGAAAUUACCAGCUUAUUGCAUUUGUGCGUGUUUUUCUAGUGAUAUUGACAAUAAAUUGAUAAUCUUUACUUGUAAUUGUGUGUGUUAAUUUGUCUCUGUUUUGGUGACGUCGAAACAAUUGUUAUCGAGCUUGCCUCAUCAGCCUUUUGUUUAGUACUUUAAGUUAUAUUAUUAUUGAAGUAAUUUCAGAUUACUCUAAACAUCUUUUACAUUAGGCCUAUGCUGGCACGGGCCUACACCCCUAGUACUAUAAUAAGAAGAACUAGAUUAUCAACAUAUUAAAGUUAAAAGGAAUCUUUUCAACUCAUUAUAAUUUGGGUGACUUAAAUAAAAGGUUAACUUUCUUUUGAACUUUAACCUCUAUCUAGUAAUUUUGACCAACAAAAUUGUGAACUUUUUUAUAAUAAAAUAAAUUUAUAUUUUAAAUAUUUAACACAAUAUUUAUUGGCCCGUACAGAAUUGGCAAAACUUUAUUGUUGUUGCAUUUUUUUGGAUCAUAUUUCUAUCCCAAUACAAAUUAUUUGGAUUUUUGUUUUCAAUAUUGUGGUAGCUAAGUAGAGUUCUUGCCCUAGUGAUUUAUAAAAUACAGAAGGAGAAAAUGAUGCAUGAAGAACGUUUUAAAAUUUGAUUAUGAGGCUUUAUGAUCUAUAAAUUUCACCAGCCAUAACCUGUAAGGGGGAAGGGGGAAGGGUGACUGAGUUGGUUGAGCAUGUGAUCUCCCAAAUGAGGGGUCUCAGGUUCGAGACGCUCAACAUGCUUUCUUGGUCAAGCUUGUUGCGCGGAGCUUGCCUAGUGUAGUUUAUCUCUCAUGUGUGGUUUGCGGGGUAGGGGAUUACCCUGUGUGCACCCUAAAGGUAGCGGCUGCAGAUUCCUUGUCAUUAAAAAAGAAAAAAAUUCACGAGCCAUAUUGCCUAGGGUACAUGUAUGAAGAAUAUUUGAAGAUGCUUUUGUGGAGAAACCUUUUUAAGCAUCUGUGUGAGAUGUUGAAUGGACAAGAUGUAUUUACAUUGAAAUUCAAUGUUAAAAUUUUUAUUUUCAGGGAGGAGGUUGGUGCAAUAAUGUCACCACUUGUCUUUCCCGGAAGAAUACUCAGCUUGGGAUCAUCUAAGCAGAUGGUAGAAAAUCUGCUUUCACUGAUUUUCGUAUUGCUGGCUGUCAUGAAUAACAUUUUUCCUGUCUGAAUAACAGUGUUACAUCUUGUAGACUUGUAUAACUGGAACAGAGUAAAGGUUGGAUAUUGUGAUGGAUCAUCCUUUACUGGUGAUGUUCAAGCAGUCAAUCCGGUAAUUUUGAGUUAAUACUGAUACUCUUGAUUCGUCCUAAACCAUGAUUCUCUCAAAUGUUAGGCUAUUCUGUCUGGAUGUGGAUUGACUUCAAUUUUACAUAUUGUGACAGCUUCAAAGCACUCUUACCAAUGGGUGCUAAAGUAAAGUGCUUUUCGGAUGCUGGUUAUUUGCUAGUGUAAUUCUCUGCUUUAUUGGAGGAAAGAUAUUUGUGGUGCGCCUCAUAUUGAAGAAUACUUCAGAGAUGUUGUUAGCUUACAUGUAUGUUUCUUUAACAUCCUUCUCAUGGGAGUUCCGUUAUAAUUUUGGUUGUAGCUAGCUCCACAUUAUUUCUUUCAUCUUCUGGAAAUCUUACUGCCUACUGUGGGCAAUUCCGGGUUUAGCCAACCCCGACUCGAUCUUAUUUGUGAACAUUGUUAUGUCAUCUUCCUUUUUCUCUCUGAAUAAUAAAAAUGUUGGGAAUCUGUAUUUUUAUCUCCUUUACUAUGUAUGAACUUCUAUUUUCUAAUGUUACUUGUACCUAGAAAAGGGGGAAACAGUGAAGUCAACAGAUAAAUUUCAUGUUCAUUUUACCUUAUAUUGGCUUCAGGGUUCUGCCGCCAGUGUAUGUGUACCUCAUUUGGUAAGAGCUGUUGCUUUCAUAAUAUGUUUUCUGCCUUUUGCGUUAUUGCAUCUUACACCAAUAAUCCAAUACAUCUUGCAGUGUUUUUUCCCACAAAAUGUUGCUCAACGCACGCCACUUUUCCUAGUUAUGAUUCCUGGCAGGUAAAGAGCAUUUCUGGAAACUCCAACUACUGUUGGAUUAUGCUAUCUUCUCGGCUAUAUUUCAAUCCUCGACUGUUUUAUAGUUAUUGCCUUUUUUGCUUCAUUGGAUUUGAGAACUUUGCAUUUCUGUGUUGUUGUGAUGUAUUUGUUAACUGAUACAAUACCUCACCUAAAACUAUUACCGCGAGAUUUGAUAUUUAAAUGGGCAGCACGCUUUUGGAUACUAUUGUAGACAUUGAAAUUUUGCGGACUCUACAAGACAUGUUCAAUUCGAAUUGGGACUCUAGAAAGUGUGUUCAGUCUCAAUUUGAAUUCUUGGAGUCUACUCAACUCUAAACUCUAGUUUAUGCCUAUAUAAAAGGUACUAAAUUUCCUGAAAAGGCAUCUCAAAAAUUCCUUCCACAAAAGACAUGGAAUAUUCAUAUAAAGGUCAAAUCUAAAUCAUCCUAGUUCGAGAAAUACGUACUAACGGCCCUCGAAUCAUGAAUAAAUCUUAGGAGAGUAGAAUUUAAGGGAGGAACAAAUUUGUACCCGCAUAUUUAUCAAUAUAUUCAUGUUUCUUCAGAUUUUAUUUUUGUGAUUUAUUUAUUUUCCAUAUGUUUAAAAUUUGUUGCAAACAACUAUAUGGUGACUUUUUAGGUCAAAGGUACUUGAAAUCUGCUUUUCAUCUUUUCCAAGUGAUUUCAUGCAUUCGGGGACACAAAUGUUGAACAAGAUAUGUCAUUGUUGACACAUAAUAGCAUGAAUGAUCUCAGAAUAGGAAACGCCAUCAACAAUCUGGUCAAGAUUUUAAAGUUCAUGUGCUAAAUAUGGAGAUGAUCCUUUCAAGACUCUGAUCUAACCAGAUUGAGAUUGAAAUACAAUGUAAAAACAAAAAAUGUAAAACUAGUUGAUAUAUAGAUAGAAUGAAUACACAAAUAAACUUUUGAUUCAAACAUUGUAGACAGACAGAUGCUUUCCCCAAAUCUAAAACCCUUAAAGCAAAUAUAAAUGUAUUAAAAAUCAAAUAAAAUAAAAUGAAUGAAUUUGUAGAUUCUAAUAAAUCUAAAAUAUUAAAACGAAAUCAGAAAAAUUUUAAAAAAAAAUUGUUUAAUCGACUAAAAAUCUAAAAUACAUAAAUUUUACAUGAAUAUGUAAACAAACUUGCAUAAAAAA
rnacentral:lncRNA from 1 species